CCCUUUUGUGUUUUGUUAAGUGUUGAGUUGUACUUUGAAUAGUUUUUUUUUUAUUUGUUAAUUUUUUGGUAAAUUUUGAUUUUUCAAUGGAGAUUUUGCUUUGGCUUCUUUCACACCUGUCUGAGAAUGGUGGCUCACAUAAAUAAAAAGACACUUCAUUGGAUUUUUUGCCAUUUCUUUUGCUGCCAGUUAGCCACUGCACCGACCAUCCUACCACACUGGACAUCUGGCACUUUUUGCUGCAACUGGAAACAGGGUGCACUAGUGUCGGCAUGCAUCUUUGAGUAGGACCGGUAGGACACUGCUCUUUUGUGUCGGACAGAGUGCACAUAGAGGAGGAAAAGACCUGCAAAGGAAACACUUCAAACACCCUGAAUUUUCAUCUGUAUCUCCUGGAAUGCCUGUGCAGGUGGAAGCAGGACUGGGAAUCAGCUUCCAUCCUCCCUCCUUACCUACGCAAGAGGAGGUGGUUCCCUGUUUUAACACAAACAGUCUGAGGGUGUUAGGGAGGAAACUCCCCAACAGUUCAGACUCAACGUGGAAUAAAAACAUUUAAAGUCCACACAUUAAACAUUUAUAGAAGUGUUUUCUAUAGAGGAACUUAUCAGAGUGGACUACUUGCUUGCACAGUGUUGUGAGCCAGCGGCAUGCAAGAGAUGUUAUCAGACACUGGCAUGUACUGGAUGGAGUUACAGGACUCUACAUACCUGAUACUGUUUUUCUUAAUACUGGUCCUCAGCAAAUAAAUAAUAAUAAAUAUCAAGGUACACCACGACCAAUUAUUAACUUAUCCGUCAAUAGACAGACAUAGAUAAUACAAAGAGAAGGAGAAAUAGGGAAAGAAAAGAUAAACGUAAGGGGAAGAAACAUGGAAAGAUUGAUGUAAAAAUCCAAAAGGUUGAAGAAUUGGUUGAAGAGUUAAAAGAUCUGAAUAUGAGCGUUUAAAAGAAGACACCGAGGGAUCAGACGCUGUACCUAGACAGCUGGAAGAAGAUUCCAAAAG